rnacentral:rRNA from 1 species
GACGAACGCUGGCGGCGUGCUUAUCACAUGCAAGUCGAACGGUAAGGCCCUUCGGGGUACACGAGUGGCGAACGGGUGAGUAACACGUGGGUGAUCUGCCCUGCACUUCGGGAUAAGCCUGGGAAACUGGGUCUAAUACCGGAUAGGACCACUGCCUGCAUGGGUGGUGGUGGAAAGCUUUUGCGGUGUGGGAUGGGCCCGCGGCCUAUCAGCUUGUUGGUGGGGUGAUGGCCUACCAAGGCGACGACGGGUAGCCGGCCUGAGAGGGUGACCGGCCACACUGGGACUGAGAUACGGCCCAGACUCCGACGGGAGGCAGCAGUGGGGAAUAUUGCACAAUGGGCGCAAGCCUGAUGCAGCGACGCCGCGUGAGGGAUGACGGCCUUAGGGUUGUAAACCUCUUUCAGCACCGACGAAGCGCAAGUGACGGUAGGUGCAGAAGAAGGACCGGCCAACUACGUGCCAGCAGCCGCGGUAA